AGCUCCAAUAGCGUAUAUUAAAGUUGUUGCGGGUAAAAAGUUCGUAGUUGGAUUUCUGUUGAGGACGACCGGUCCGCCCUCUGGGUGAGUAUCUGGCUCGGCCUUGGCAUCUUCUUGGAGAACGUAACUGCAUUUGACUGUGUGGUGCGGUAUCCAGGACUUAUACUUUGAGGAAAUUAGAGUGUUUCAAGCAGGCGUACGCCUUGAAUACAUUAGCAUGGAAUAAUGAGAUAGGACAUUGGUUCUAUUUUGUUGGUUUCUAGAGCUGAGGUAAUGAUUAAUAGGGAUAGUUGGGGCAUUCGUAUUUAAUUGUCAGAGGUGAAAUUCUUGGAUUUAUUAAAGACUGACUACUGCGAAAGCAUUUGCCAAGGAUGUUUUCA
rnacentral:rRNA from 1 species